GACGAACGCUGGCGGCGUGCUUAACACAUGCAAGUCGAGCGACUGCAUUCUUUUCGGGGGGUGUAUGGAGCGGCGAACGGGUGAGUAACACGUGAGUAAUCUGCCUUUGGCUUGGGAAUAACUUCGGGAAAUCGGGGCUAAUGCCUGAUGUUUACUGUCUGCUGCAUGGUGGGUGGUGGAAAGAUUUUUUGGCCAGGGAUGAGCUCGCGGUCUAUCAGCUUGUUGGGGGGUAAUGGCUUACCAAGGCUUUGACGGGUAGCCGGCCUGAGAGGGUGUUCGGCCACACUGGGACUGAGACACGGCCCAGACUCCUACGGGAGGCAGCAGUGGGGAAUAUUGCGCAAUGGGCGUAAGCCUGACGCAGCGACGCCGCGU
rnacentral:rRNA from 1 species